rnacentral:rRNA from 1 species
UACAGAGGGUGCGAGCGUUAAUCGGAAUUACUGGGCGUAAAGCGCGCGUAGGCGGCUUUGCAAGUCGGGUGUGAAAUCCCCAGGCUUAACCUGGGAACUGCAUUCGAGACUGCAUUGCUAGAGUAUGGGAGAGGGAAGUGGAAUUUCCGGUGUAGCGGUGAAAUGCGUAGAUAUCAGGAGGAACACCUGCGGUGUAGACGGCUUACUGGACCAUAACUGACGCUGAGGCACGAAAGCGUGGGUAGCAAACAGG